GUCCUGAAUUUCUAACAUCACAACAGCAACCUUACGGCUGUACUCUGUUUUCUGCGUCAUGGAUGCAGAGCGGCAGCUUCUUUAGGACUACUCCAAGUCCAAGUCUUCUUUGUCACAAUGGUUUAGCAAUUCCAGCAUCCUUCAGAUUAAGCAGGCAGACUAGAAAAAAUUCACUGGGUCAUGGUGAAUGCAAUUAUAUAGGGCUGCCUCUUGAUAUCUGCACUUACAAAGCUGAAGUCACUAUCCCUUAUCUCUGUCCUAUACAGUCAUCUGAAU
rnacentral:misc_RNA from 1 species